GGAGAGGGAGAGGGCGGCGACCAGGAGAGGGAGCGGAGGCGGAGGAGGGGAAAUUCGGAGAGGGAGAGGAGGCGGAAGCUAGGGCUUACAAUUAACCAGUCGAGUUAUACCCGAAAACUUUAGCCGACGAAAUAAUAAUUUCGUCGGCUAAAGAUAAUAAUUUCGUCGGCUAAAAUAAUAAUCUCGUCGGCUAAGAUAAAAUUCGUCGGCUAAACCUUUGAAAUUCGUCGGCUUUAAAACAAUUAACCAUUCGUCAAACUGUGAUUGUGAUUGUGAUGAUCAAACUUGAGAACGAAAAUCCGACCGUCAGAUUUGACCACCAUGAAAAAAUACAUGUAUGGGAAAAAAUUCAACUUGAUUCGACAAGGUUAAGGGCUCGAUCCGAACGGUCAAUCUGUUAAGUCAAACCCCUAAACGCACGGAAAAUGUCAUUGGACUGUCUAAAUUACGUAUUUUGGCCGGACCUUCAACUGAAAAUAGUUUCAAACCGAUUAGACGCAACAAGUCCUAUAAUAAUUUUAAGCAAAAUAACCACCGAAGAUAGGGCUACCCAUAAGGAGAAAGAAUGGAAAAUUGCAUUGACCGCAACUAUCGGCACCGAGACUUUACCGGAAUACCGUGAUUUUUCAACCGUAGACGUAUUUCACCAUUCUGGUCAUGUCUUAUUUCACGAUUUUUUUACGUUUGAAGGUUCUACGUAUAGUUUGUUUGUGAAACGGAACAUUUACUUAACACUUGGUGAACAAGUUACACAACAUUAGUAGGCAUGUUGUGAUUGUGAAUAUCAAACUUGAGAAAAUGAAAUCCGACGGUCAGUUCUGACCAUCACGAUAAGAUACAUGUAUGGGAAAAAAUUCAACUUAACCUGACAAGGUUAAGUGCUCGAUCCGGACGGUCAAUCCCGUAAGUCAAACCCCUAAAUGCACGGAAAAGGUCGUUGGACCGUCUAAAUUUCGUAUUUUGGCUGGACCUUCAACUGAAAAUAUUUUCAAAUCGAUGAGACACAACAAGUCGUAUAAAAAUUUUAAGCAAAACAACCACCGAAGAUAGGGCUAUAGUAUGUAACUAGAAAAAGUUUAGGGUUUAGCCGACGAAUACCCUAAUUCAUUCGUCGGCUUUAGUAUGUAAUAAAAAAAUAUAACAAUUAAUAAAGCCGACGAAAUAUUAGGGUAUUCGUCGGCUAAGAUGGUUUUAGCCGACGACUUCUAAUAUACAUCGUCGGCUUAGAUGGUUUUAGCCGACGACUUUCAUUGCAAUUCGUCGGCUAUAAGAUCUUGUAGCCGACGACUUUCAUUUCAAUUCGUUGGCUUUAAGUGGUUUUAGCCGACGACUUCUAAUAUUCUUCGUCGGCUAAGACGAGUUUAGCCUACGACUUCUAGUAUAAUUCGUCGGCUAAGAUGGUUUAGGCCGACGAAUUAUGUUAUACUUCGUCGGCUUAAGUAAAAAAUACAAACCCUAAAACAGAAGGUUUAAACCAUACUAAUUUCUUGUUUAUAUACCACCAAAAUUCAUGUAAAAUAACAGAAAUAUGAAUUCAACAUAUGUAAACUAUAAAUUAAGGUAAUACAAUCUUUUUUAUUACAAAUUAAUGUAUUACGUCCUCUAAAUUAAAACUAAGGCUCGUAAUCGGAAUCAUCCGAUGAGUCUUCUUCGGUGUCAGAAUUAAUUUCUGGUAAUCUAUGUAUUUCCUCAUCUCCAGAGUCUUCAUCUGUUUCUUGAUUUGGAUCAACAUCAAUAAGCCUUGGCUCUUCAUCACGAUUUCGCACCGAACGACCCGCUUUAAAAUUAUUAAGGAGAACGGUAGAGGAGUUAGGAAUACCUAUUGCGUUGGGCUCUUAAUACGCAACAUCUUCUUCCUGGUCUUCGGCCUCUCCAAGUGUAGCCGCCCGGUAAAUGUUUCGAGGGUGCACAAGGUUGACUACUUUCCACGCGUCACCCUUAGCAAGGUCAUCAAGAUAAAACACUUGUUUUACCGAUGUGGCAAAAACGAACGGGUCAUCUUCGUAAGAACUUGUAGCAGUGUUCACCGAUAAUAUUCCGUACUGAUCGGUCUUCAUGCUAUGCGGGCUAGUAUCAAACCAUCUACACUUGAAGAGGUGCACUGUCAUGCCUUCACCGUAAACGAGUUCCACCACUGAAUCAAGAACACCGUAAUAGUCAACUCCAUUCCGCCCACCAUGCGCCAUCACCCCAGAAUUCUGUGUUCUCCGUCUGAUGUCUCUCUGUUCACAUAUAAAUUGCACGCCAUUCACCUUGCACAUCGGAUAAACUCUUGACAUUAUCGGCUUCAACGCUAGAAGUCUUAGUUCGUGCGACCAAUUUGGAUGACCAUCAAAUUGAAUAUGGUUCAUCUGCAACCAACAAUUUAACAUUGUAAAUAUAGAUAAUUAUGCAAUAAACAUAAAUACAUACAUAAAUAUUGAAUUACGUACCCAGCCGCCAAAAUAGUUUGCGAACUCCUUGUUGUGGUACUCGAGAUCACCAUGAAUGUCUGGACAAUAUAGAUGGAUGUUUUUCCAAUAUUCAACUUCUCGACAGUUAAUCAAUACCCACCAGUGGGCAAUGACUAGCUCAUGUGGUUGCAACUUGUAGGAGUCUGAAAAAAUUCCAUAAACUUCAACAUCACUGGAGAGUAUGGAAAGAUUGAACUUCGGUACAUCUACCGGCAUGGCUUCGUCUGUUUCCUUCAACGCUCCUAAAUAUAACUUCAUGUAGGUGACGCACUCGUGCGNNNN
rnacentral:lncRNA from 1 species